GUGGGGAAUAUUGCGCAAUGGGGGAAACCCUGACGCAGCGACGCCGCGUGAGCGAAGAAGGCCUUAGGGUUGUAAAGCUCUGUUUUAAGGGACGAAUGUCGUGGGGAGUAAUAUGCUCUGCGAAUGACGGUACCUUAAGAGGAAGCCCCGGCUAACUACGUGCCAGCAGCCGCGGUAAGACGUAGGGGGCGAGCGUUGUCCGGAAUUACUGGGCGUAACGAGCACGUAGGCGGGAACUUAAGUCAGGUGUGAAAGACCGGGGCUCAACUCCGGGGUUGCACUUGAAACUGGGUUUCUUGAGGGCAGGAGAGGAAAGCAGAAUGCCUGGUGUAGCGGUGAAAUGCGUAGAAAUCAGGAGGAAUACCAGUGGCGAAGGCGGCUUCCUGGCACAAUACUGACGCUCAUGUGCGAAAGCUAGGGCAGCGAACGGGAUUAGAAACCCGAGUAGUCC
rnacentral:rRNA from 1 species